rnacentral:rRNA from 1 species
UAUNGCACAACGGGGGAAACCCUGAUGCCGCNCCGCCGCGUGAGUGAGGAAGUAUUUCGGUAUGUAAAGCUCUUUCAGCAGGGAAGAAAAUGACGGUACCUGACUAAGAAGCCCCGGCUAAUUACGUGCCAGCAGCCGCGGUAAUACGUAGGGGGCAAGCGUUAUCCGGAUUUACUGGGUGUAAAGGGAGCGUAGACGGAAUUGCAAGUCUGAUGUGAAAAUCCGGGGCCCAACCCCGGAACUGCAUUGGAAACUGUAUUUCUAGAGUGUCGGGGAGGCAAGUGGAAUUCCUGGUGUAGCGGUGAAAUGCGUAGAUAUCAGGAGGAACACCAGUGGCGAAGGCGGCUUGCUGGACGAUGACUGACGUUGAGGCUCGAAAGCGUGGGGAGCAAA